UUGUGUUGUUCGGAAGCACUACAUCUGGAGGUAUGUUCUCCGUGUUGUUGUUUAUGUAGAGUUCCUAGUGCAUAUGUUAUUCCAAGCAAGAACGUUGAAAAAUAUAAAUAAGAUUUCAAGAUUGUAUUACCAAAGUUUUCUCAAAUAGUACGUUGAUGCACAUUUUGCGUAUGUCCUUUACGAUUUGGGUAGAUCUAACUACUUUUAUGCAGCGUUGUAAGAAUCAUGUCAUUACAAUCAACGUCUCACCUUUAUGUAUAAAUUUUAUUAUGUUUGCGGUAUGCAGAGAAAUGUGCCAUGGUUCAAUUUCCGCUCGUGAUCUGCAACAAUCUAGCAUGCAAGCAUGAAUGUGAGUUUUGGGGCCAGGGCAAGAAGGUUCGAGGAUUCUGGUGCAAUCGGAUGCUCCGUGGCACCUGCAACUGCAAGAUUUGUUGGGAUGAAUAAACUUAAUUGAUACGCUAAGCACAAUUAAUGUUAUCAUUAUUGAAUUCAUAACUUUGUGUCCUUGAAUCACCCAUUUAUGCAUGGGAUUCUAUUCUUGGGAGAGCACCAUGGGAUGGAGAAUAUUAAUCUAUAUUGUGUCAUGGAAAAACUUCUUAAAAGACGAAUAUCAUAC
rnacentral:lncRNA from 1 species